AUGGAAAAACACAACAUUGCACAGAAACAACUAUCGGACAGUCUGGUGGGUGUUCAGCCAGUUCUUGUCAGAAUGGUUGCAAUCAAAAGUACAAGAAUGUGUGUCAUCCAAAUGAUGAGUGCAUAUGGAAGGCCAAUUGUGUUGGAACGACCUGCAAGUGCACUGUGUGCACAUUUAGCUCCUUCCCCAUGCAAGCCUCCAAAAAGGGGAACAAUGACGCUAACUAGUAACUCAUUUAAUUUUUAUUUUUACGUCAAAAAUAGUCAGAAUAAUUAUUAUAUAAAUAUAGUCGCAAGACAUUCACCCGAAAGUGAUGUAUAA
rnacentral:rRNA from 1 species